CUGCAUGGCUGUCGUCAGCUCGUGUCGUGAGAUGUUGGGUUAAGUCCCGCAACGAGCGCAACCCUUGCCUUUAGUUGCCAGCAGUUCGGCUGGGCACUCUAAAGGGACUGCCGGUGUUAAACCGGAGGAAGGUGGGGAUGACGUCAAGUCCUCAUGGCCUUUAUGACCAGGGCUACACAUGUACUACAAUGGCCGAUACAAAGGGCAGCGACACUGCGAGGUGAAGCCAAUCCCGUAAAAUCGGUCUCAGUCCGGAUUGGAGUCUGCAACUCGACCCCAUGAAGUUGGAAUCGCUAGUAAUCGUGGAUCAGCAUGCCACGGUGAAUACGUUCCCGGGCCUU
rnacentral:rRNA from 1 species